CGUCCCGUAGCUCAGGCUGGCAGAGCGUCCGCCCGACACGCGGAAGGUCCCAGGUUCAAGUCCUGGCGGGACGA
rfam:Kibdelosporangium aridum strain DSM 43828 genome assembly, contig: LX79DRAFT_scaffold00001.1